rnacentral:lncRNA from 1 species
UUAUCCUUUGGGAUGAUUAUGUGAUAUUAUAUUUGACAUCUUAUUUUGCAGGUGAGCUAUGUAAUUGACCCAAAAGGCACUUCAAGCGGGCAGGAAAGUCUAAGGCCCUUACUAAGUACUUCCAAGUAAGUAGAGCAAUCACCAUCACACGGAUUUAUUCAAGAUUUUUUGUGUUAAGCCAAUUGUUUGUUUUCAUGUAAUUGUUGUCCACUAAUAUUUUAUUGAAUAAUUUGUGUGUCGUCGCAAAGUACGGUCAUUGUACUAGUAGUAUUGAAUGCUCCAUUUGUAGUUCCUGUGAUAUUACAGUAGUGCAGUCUAAAAUACUGAAACAUUGUACACUGUAAUACCCUGAAAGGCUGGGCCAAUCAAUUUUGACUCUUCUUUACUUGGGCAUGUGUUUAUUCAAAAAAUUCUUGGUAGCUACGGUCUAAUUUGGACUCUAUAUUCAUUAUUUGACUUACAAAUCUUCGUGCACAUAAGUGUGAAUUGGUUUCUCCACACAUAUAGUGACACAAAGGUGUGGAGCAAGAAAGAGGGUUAUUGCCCCAUUUUAGGUGACCAAUAUGUUUCCCUAAUCAAAAUGCGAUCAGUAUAUGGCUGAUGCUUACAUGAUGUCAGUUGCAUGGCCGUACAAGAAAGUAAUAGUCUAUAUCUUGUUUAUGUUUAGAUUUAUAUGAGCCAUCAACUUAAUGAUGAUUAACCUUGAUUGCACCAGCUGAAGUUGGUGCAUAAGGCUGCAACACCGCCUAGUGGAGGUAGAUAAGGCAUCAAAACUAUAUUUUUAUUUGCAAAUGUAGCAACAAUAUACUAAUUUGAUGUACUUUUUUCUAGGGUGUUCUGGACAAAGAAAGCUUGUACCUUAAAACAGGAGGAUACAAGAAGCUGGAGUGGUUGUCUUAAGGCUUU